rnacentral:rRNA from 1 species
GAGUACGCGUGGGUAACCUGCCCCUGAAUCCGGAAUAACCCGCCGAAAGGCGGACUAAUACCGGAUGCCGUCCCGGAGUCGCAUGGCACUGGGAUGAAAGAUGACCUCUUCACGAAAGUUGUCGUUCAGGGAGGGGCUCGCGUACCAUUAGCUAGUUAGCAGGGUAAUGGCCUACCAAGGCGACGAUGGUUAGCUGGUCUGAGAGGAUGAUCAGCCACACUGGAACUGAAACACGGUCCAGACUCCUACGGGAGGCAGCAGUGAGGAAUUUUGCGCAAUAGGGGAAACCCUGACGCAGCAACGCCGCGUGAGUGAAGAAGGCCUUCGGGUCGUAAAGCUCUGUCAAGCGGGACAAAGUUCUGCGAGUGAACAGCUCGCAGAAGUGAUGGUACUGCUAGAGGAAGCACCGGCUAACUCCGUGCCAGCAGCCGCGGUAAUACGGAGGGUGCAAGCGUUGUUCGGAAUUACUGGGCGUAAAGCGCGUGCAGGCGGUUGAGUAAGUCAAAUGUGAAAGCCUUCCGCUUAACGGAAGAAGUGCAUUUGAAACUGCUCGGCUAGAGUACGGGAGAGGAGAGUGGAAUUCCCGGUGUAGAGGUGAAAUUCGUAGAUAUCGGGAGGAACACCAGUGGCGAAGCGGCUCUCUGGUCCGAUACUGACGCUGAGACGCGAAAGCGUGGGGAGCAAACAGGAUUAGAUACCCUGGUAGUCCACGCUGUAAACGAUGGGCACUAGGUGUAGGAGGUAUUGACCCCUUCUGUGCCGAAGCUAACGCAUUAAGUGCCCCGCCUGGGGAGUACGGUCGCAAGAUUAAAACUCAAAGGAAUUGACGGGGGCCCGCACAACGGUGGAGCAUGUGGUUCAAUUCGACGCAACGCGAAGAACCUUACCUGGGCUUGACAUCCGCUGACUGUCCUGGAAACAGGAUUUUCCCCGCAAGGGGACAGCGAGACAGGUGCUGCAUGGCUGUCGUCAGCUCGUGUCGUGAGAUGUUGGGUUAAGUCCCGCAACGAGCGCAACCCUCAUCUUUAGUUGCCAUCAUUGAGUUGGGCACUCUAAGGAAACUGCCCCGGUUAACGGGGAGGAAGGUGGGGAUGACGUCAAGUCCUCAUGGCCUUUAUGUCCAGGGCUACACACGUGCUACAAUGGGCGGUACAAAGGGUUGCUAUUCCGCGAGGAGGCGCCAAUCCCAAAAAGCCGUUCUCAGUUCGGAUCGGAGUCU